rnacentral:rRNA from 1 species
UUGAAGCCUAGCGAUGUGUAAGUUAGUGGCGGACGGGUGAGUAACGCGUGGGUAACCUGCCUUGUACAGGGGGAUAACAGUUGGAAACGGCUGCUAAUACCGCAUAAGCGCACAGCAUCGCAUGAUGCAGUGUGAAAAACUCCGGUGGUACAAGAUGGACCCGCGUCUGAUUAGCUGGUUGGUGAGGUAACGGCCCACCAAGGCGACGAUCAGUAGCCGGACUGAGAGGUUGAACGGCCACAUUGGGACUGAGACACGGCCCAAACUCC